GUGGGGAAUUUUGGACAAUGGGCGAAAGCCUGAUCCAGCCAUUCCGCGUGCAGGAUGAAGGCCCUCGGGUUGUAAACUGCUUUUGUACAGAACGAAAAAGCUCCGGCUAAUACCUGGAGUCCAUGACGGUACUGUAAGAAUAAGCACCGGCUAACUACGUGCCAGCAGCCGCGGUAAUACGUAGGGUGCAAGCGUUAAUCGGAAUUACUGGGCGUAAAGCGUGCGCAGGCGGUUUUGUAAGACAGAGGUGAAAUCCCCGGGCUCAACCUGGGAACUGCCUUUGGGACUGCAAGGCUGGAGUGCGGCAGAGGGGGAUGGAAUUCCGCGUGUAGCAGUGAAAUGCGUAGAUAUGCGGAGGAACACCGAUGGCGAAGGCAAUCCCCUGGGCCUGCACUGACGCUCAUGCACGAAAGCGUGGGGAGCAAACAGGAUUAGAAACCCUUGUAGUCC
rnacentral:rRNA from 1 species